rnacentral:rRNA from 1 species
GACGAACGCUGGCGGCGUGCUUAACACAUGCAAGUCGAACGGAAAGGCCCUGCUUUUGUUGGGUGCUCGAGUGGCGAACGGGUGAGUAACACGUGAGUAACCUGCCCUUGACUUUGGGAUAACUUCAGGAAACUGGGGCUAAUACCGGAUAGGAGCUCCUGCUGCAUGGUGGGGGUUGGAAAGUUUCGGCGGUUGGGGAUGGACUCGCGGCUUAUCAGCUUGUUGGUGGGGUAGUGGCUUACCAAGGCUUUGACGGGUAGCCGGCCUGAGAGGGUGACCGGCCACAUUGGGACUGAGAUACGGCCCAGACUCCUACGGGAGGCAGCAGUGGGGAAUAUUGCACAAUGGGCGGAAGCCUGAUGCAGAACCGCCGCGUGCGGGAUGACGGCCUUCGGGUUGUAAACCGCUUUCGCCUGUGACGAAGCGUGAGUGACGGUAAUGGGUAAAGAAGCACCGGCUAACUACGUG